rnacentral:rRNA from 1 species
UACGUAGGGUGCGAGCGUUGUCCGGAAUUAUUGGGCGUAAAGGGCUCGUAGGCGGUCUGUUGCGUCGGGAGUGAAAACUCAGGGCUUAACCCUGAGCCUGCUUCCGAUACGGGCAGACUAGAGGUAUGCAGGGGAGAACGGAAUUCCUGGUGUAGUGGUGAAAUGCGUAGAGAUCCGGAGGAAUACCAGAGGCGAAGGCGGCAUCCUGGCCUAAAACUGACACUGAGACGCGAAAGCAUGGGGAGCGAACGGG